AUGGCUCAAGAUAACACUAAAUUGUGUGACUUUACCAAUACCAACAACAAUGAUUUUAUUAGUACUCCGAUUGCUCCUCUUACCGAUGCUGAAUCUUGUGAAAUUAAUGCUGCAUUGCUGAAUCUUGUCAUGAAAGAUCCGUUUUCCGGCCUUCCUAGUGAAGAUGCCGCUACCCAUCUAAAUAGCUUCAUUGUUAAUGAUAUUGUUAAAUUGAAGCUAUUUCCUUUUUCGCUUAGAGAUCGUGCUAAAGCUUGGUUUUCGUUUUUGCCUAAAAAUAGUAUUGAUUCUUGGAAUAAGUGCAAAGAUGCUUUUAUCUCUAAGUAUUUUCCUCCCGCUAAGAUUAUCUCUCUUAGAAACGAUAUUAUGAAUUUUAAGCAACUUGAUCAUGAACAUGUUGCAAAAGCUUGGGAGAGGAUCAAAUUAAUGAUAUGUAAUUUCCCAACACAUGGUUUGAAUUUGUGGAUGAUUAUACAAAAAAAUUAUGCCGAAUUGAAUUUUGCUUCUAGAAAUCUUUUAGAUUCGGCCGCGGGAGGCACUUUUAUGGAAAUCACUUUAGGAGAAGCUACUAAACUCUUAGAUAAUAUUAUGGUUAAUUAUUCUCAAUGGCACACUGAAAGAUCUACUAAUAAGAAAGUGCAUGCGAUAGAAGAAAUUGAUGUUUUGAGUGGAAAGAUGGAUGAACUUAUGAAAUUAUUUGCUAAUAAGAGUGUUUCUUCUGAUCCUAAUGAUAUUCCUUUGUCUACUUUGAUUGAGAAUAAUAAUGAAUCUAUGGAUGUAAAUUUUGUUGGUAGGAAUAAUUUUGGUAACAAUGCCAAUAGAGGAAACUUUAAUCCUAGGCCUUAUCCUAGUAAUUCCUCUAAUAAUUAUGGUAAUUCCUACAACUAUUCUUAUGGAAAUUAUAAUAAGAUGCCCUCUGAUUUUGAAUCUAAUAUUAAAGAAUUUAUUACUUCACAAAAGAAUUUCAAUGCUUUGAUUGAAGAGAAAUUGCUUAAGAUUGAUGAGUUGGCUAGGAACGUUGAUAGAAUUUCUGUUGGUGUUGAUUCUUUGAAACUUAGAUCUAUUCCUCCUACGCAUGAUAUCAAUGAGUCUCUCAAAGCCAUGAGAAUUUCCAUUGAUGAGAGCAAAGAAAGAACCGCUAGGAUGCGUGCUAAGAAAGAAUCCUUUAUAAGAGCCUGUUCUUCUAGUUUCCAUGAUAAUAAAGAUGAAGAUCCAAAAGUUAUUGAUGUGUCCCCUAUUAAAUCUUUGUUUUGCAAUAUGAAUCUUGAUAAUGAUGGGACUGAAUAUGAUCCACCUUUACCUAGAAGGCGUUCCAAAAAUUCAGAAUUUUUAGAUCUUGAUGCUAAAUUUGAUAAAAGUGGGAUUGAAGAAAUCAAAACUCUAGAUGUUAAUGAACCCACUAUUUUUGAUUUCAAGGAAUUUAAUUAUGAUAAUUGCUCUUUAAUAGAUUUUAUUUCCUUGUUGCAAUCCGUGCUAAAUUCUCCUCAUGCUUAUAGUCAAAAUAAAGCUUUUACCAAACAUAUCGUUGAUGCUUUGAUGCAAUCCAAAACUUGA
rnacentral:rRNA from 1 species